GUAAUGUUUUCAUUUCAUUUUGUUGUGUUAAGAAUGUAUUAUUUUUUAAGGUCUUGAUGUCUAAUUACCUUAAUAGAGCCAUAUUAAAAUGAGAAAUGAGGGAGAUUUUUAUUUAACUGUUGUAUGGAAAUGUUUAUUUAAGGGUAAACUUGUUCUGUAGAAACUGUUUGAAUCACAAAAUAUUUGUUUUAGUUUUUUUCUGUAGGUAUAGGUAAUUGGUGUUGAGACAGUUGGGUUGAGACGGGCUUCUGCUUCAAGCAUUGUUCCUAAGGCUCUGUAGAAAUGUGAUAUGGCAGUGUAAGGGGUGUUCCGUUGCAGUAGCUACUGAUUGCCAGGAUGAGGAGUUUGUGGAAGAGGAAGUUUCUGUUGCACCCCUAGAUAAAUGCAGAAUUUAAGCGCAUUACCACCAUGCCCCUGCAAUCCAGAUUUCUGACACAGCUGGAUGUAAGAUCUGACAAACUUCUAAAGCUGUUCGAAAAACGAGGAGGACAGAUAGGCAAGCGUCUUGAGAGAACUUUGGCCCCCAUGACUCAAGAAGAUUACAUUGAUGCAGGGCGGGAAUGUGUUCUCAAGUGGCUGUGUGUGUACCUCAACGAAGACCCAGCAAAUCUUGUCAGGGAGUUCGUGGUGAGUGAAGUUAUUUUACCGAUUUUGAUAUUUUUUUGAACACCAAAAUGCGUAGUUA
ensembl:lncRNA